GAUGACCCUCUGAGGAGAUAUCCGUGGCUAGGUUACUGCACGACUACAGCAUCACAGAGGAGACUCCAGAACUCAAACUACCAAGAGCACCCCUCCAUCAGCUUUGUUUCCUAACUCCUGGCCUGCCUCCUUUCUUGUGGCGCCAUCUCACAGCCAAAUGACAACAAGCCCUCUCUGUCCCUCACAAAAUGCCUGUGAUAAAAAGUUCCCUUUGCAGCCAGACCAGCUGAGACUGGUACAUAGAACCAAGACAGCUGACCAAAGGACUUCAAAAAGACCUCAGUCUUCAUGAUAAUCUUAUUUCCAUGCUAAAUGAUACUCCCUCCAGCACCACGACAGUUGACAAUUGCCAUGACAAUGACUGGAAGAAGCCGUAAAAGGACUAAAAGGGAGGCGGUACUACUGAUUCCAGGAGGUUCACCACCCACUUCUGGAAAAGACAUGAAUAUUCUUCCCUUUUCUUUUAAUGUCACCUCC